GAUUCGAUGCCAAAAGAUACCGCUUCUGCAUCUGUUACGUACGAAUGGUUAUACGAACCCCUGAACGUCUGUUCCUUUACUCUGUGUGUUUAUGUCAGUCUUCGAUAGUUUUCUCGUUUUCUGCUUUGUAACCGGUGCUUGCUGAUUCUAGUAUUCAAUAGGACUAGGUAGAAGCUAGCAGCAGUACGGAUGCAAUGGAUCUACAAUCAUUGUUCCGCCGCGAAAACCACCGAAGCUCUUUAUAGCAUGCGGCUCUGCAAUCCAAUAUGAUUAUUACUGCCCUGCUGAAAGAUUCGGUGUACCUACUUCGUUGCUGCUUCUAACACUAUAAAGAGCUUCGACUGUUCACCAUUGUGAUGUAGCCGGAGGUAACCUCAUUCAGCAGCCUAGAUUGAACGGAGAUAUGGGAACGGUUGUUGCAGAACCACAGGACAUCAUACGUAGACACCGGACAGAUGCUUCCAUGCUAAACUGGACAACGCGAAGCUGAUUUCAACAGGCCGUUCUACAAGCCAAGUUAUUUGCACCGUAAGGCCAUCGAAUUAGCGCCAAAGCACGUCCCACAGGUUUAAAGUGGCAAAGGCAAAAUCUAGUGUUUUUUGUGAUUGUUCGUUCAGUGCAAAAAUACCAACAUUCUUCCGUGAGUUCAUCUAGCUCUGAAGAUGAAAAGGAGUAAAACUUCGGUGUACGUUUGGUUCGAAGUGUUACGGGGGGGAGUGUUACGUACGAAUGGUUAUACGAACCCCUGAACGUCUGUUCCUUUACUCUGUGUGUUUAUGUCAGUCUUCGAUAGUUUUCUCGUUUUCUGCUUUGUAACCGGUGCUUGCUGAUUCUAGUAUUCAAUAGGACUAGGUAGAAGCUAGCAGCAGUACGGAUGCAAUGGAUCUACAAUCAUUG